rnacentral:misc_RNA from 1 species
UCUCCGUAGGUGAACCUGCGGAAGGAUCAUUCAUAAUAAGUGUUUUAUGGCACUCUGUUAAAUCCAUAUCCUCUUUGUGUGCAUUUUCAGUUUUGAUUUAUCUCUCGAUAGGAACAGCCCGAAACAUCAACUAUAUCUUAACCUUUUGUUUGAAAAAUAUUAAGAAGAUAACAAUUCAAAAUAUAACUUUCAACAAUGGAUCACUUGGCUCUCGCAUCGAUUAAGAACGCAGCAGAUCGGGAGAGCAGACGUCUGAACUACAGUCACUUUGUACGAGCC